UACGUAGGGCGCAAGCGUUGUCCGGAAUUAUUGGGCGUAAAGAGCUCGUAGGCGGUCUGUCGCGUCUGUUGUGAAAACUCGAGGCUCAACCUCGGGCUUGCAGUGGAUACGGGCAGACUAGAGUGCGGUAGGGGAGACUGGAAUUCCUGGUGUAGCGGUGGAAUGCGCAGAUAUCAGGAAGAACACCAAUGGCGAAGGCAGCUCUCUGGGACGGUACUGACGCUGAGACGCGAAAGCGUGGGGAGCGAACAGG
rnacentral:rRNA from 1 species